rnacentral:rRNA from 1 species
UACGUAGGGGGCAAGCGUUGUCCGGAGUUACUGGGCGUAAAGCGGCACGCAGGCGGUCUCUUAAGUUUGGAGUGACAGUUGGUGGCUUAACUGCCAAAGUGCUUUCGAAAACUGAGAGACUUGAGGGCUUCAGAGGGACACGGAAUUCCGGGUGGAGUGGUGAAUGCGUAGAGAUCCGGAGGAACACCAAAGGCGAAGGCAGUGUCCUGGGGAGUACCUGACGCUCAGGUGCGAA